rnacentral:rRNA from 1 species
AGAGUUUGAUCCUGGCUCAGGAUGAACGCUAGCGACAGGCCUAACACAUGCAAGUCGAGGGGCAUCGGGGCGAGGAGCAAUCCUUGCCGCCGGCGACCGGCGCACGGGUGAGUAACGCGUAUGCGACCUGCCCGUUGCAGGGGGAUAAUCGGGAGAAAUCCCGUCUAAUACCGCGUAAUGCCGCGGGGCUGCAUGGCCCUGCGGCCAAAGGGAGCGAUUCCGGCAACGGAUGGGCAUGCGUGACAUUAGCUAGUUGGCGGGGCAACGGCCCACCAAGGCGACGAUGUCUAGGGGUUCUGAGAGGAAGGUCCCCCACACUGGUACUGAGACACGGACCAGACUCCUACGGGAGGCAGCAGUGAGGAAUAUUGGUCAAUGGGCGCGAGCCUGAACCAGCCAAGUCGCGUGAGGGAUGACGGCCCUACGGGUUGUAAACCUCUUUUGUCGGGGAGCAAAUUCCGUUACGUGUAACGGAGUCGAGAGUACCCGAAGAAAAAGCAUCGGCUAACUCCGUGCCAGCAGCCGCGGUAAUACGGAGGAUGCGAGCGUUAUCCGGAUUUAUUGGGUUUAAAGGGUGCGUAGGCGGACUGUCAAGUCAGCGGUAAAAUACGGGGGCUCAACCUCCGCCCGCCGUUGAAACUGACGGUCUUGAGUGGGCGAGAAGUAUGCGGAAUGCGUGGUGUAGCGGUGAAAUGCAUAGAUAUCACGCAGAACUCCGAUUGCGAAGGCAGUGUACCGGCGCCCAACUGACGCUGAAGCACGAAAGCGUGGGUAUCGAACAGGAUUAGAUACCCUGGUAGUCCACGCAGUAAACGAUGAAUACUAGCUGUCCGGGGCGAAUGAGCCCUGGGUGGCACAGCGAAAGCGUUAAGUAUUCCACCUGGGGAGUACGCCGGCAACGGUGAAACUCAAAGGAAUUGACGGGGGCCCGCACAAGCGGAGGAACAUGUGGUUUAAUUCGAUGAUACGCGAGGAACCUUACCCGGGCUCAAACGACACAGGAACGUACCUGAAAGGGUUCGGCUCUACGGAGCCUGUGUCGAGGUGCUGCAUGGUUGUCGUCAGCUCGUGCCGUGAGGUGUCGGCUUAAGUGCCAUAACGAGCGCAACCCCCAUCGACAGUUGCUAACAGGUCAGGCUGAGGACUCUGUCGAGACUGCCGGCGCAAGCUGCGAGGAAGGCGGGGAUGACGUCAAAUCAGCACGGCCCUUACGUCCGGGGCGACACACGUGUUACAAUGGCAGGUACAGCGGGAAGCCACCUGGCGACAGGGAGCGGAACCCGAAAGCCUGUCUCAGUUCGGAUUGGAGUCUGCAACCCGACUCCAUGAAGCUGGAUUCGCUAGUAAUCGCGCAUCAGCCACGGCGCGGUGAAUACGUUCCCGGGCCUUGCACACAAAGCCCGUCAAG